AAGCUCGUAGUUGAAUUUCGAAUGUGGCUGGGCGGUCCGCCUCACGGUGUGUACUGUCUGGCCGUGUUCUCUUUCUUGGUGAGCCGGCAUGCCCUUUACUGGGUGUGUUGGGGAACCAGGACGUUUACCUUGAGAAAAUUAGAGUGUUCAAAGCAGGCCUACGCCCGAAUACAUUAGCAUGGCAUAAUAAAAUAGGACGUGCGGUUCUAUUUUGUUGGUUUCUAGAGCCGCAGUAAUGAUUAAUAGGGAUAGUUGGG
rnacentral:rRNA from 1 species